UACGAGGGGGGCAAGCGUUGUUCGGAAUUAUUGGGCGUAAAGAGCUCGUAGGCGGUCUGUUGCGUCCGCUGUGAAAACCCGGGGCUUAACCCCUGGCUUGCAGUGGAUACGGACAGACUAGAGGUAGGUAGGGGAGAAUGGAAUUCCCGGUGUAGCGGUGAAAUGCGCAGAUAUCGGGAGGAACACCGGUGGCGAAGGCGGCUGCCUGGACCGAUAUUGACGCUGAGACGCGAAAGCGUGGGGAGCAAACAGG
rnacentral:rRNA from 1 species